rnacentral:rRNA from 1 species
ACCAGACUCCUACGGGAGGCAGCAGUGGGGAAUAUUGGGCAAUGGGCGCAAGCCUGACCCAGCAACGCCGCGUGAAGGAAGAAGGCUUUCGGGUUGUAAACUUCUUUUAAGAGGGAAGAGCAGAAGACGGUACCUCUUGAAUAAGCCACGACUAACUACGUGCCAGCAGCCGCGGUAAUACGUAGGUGGCAAGCGUUGUCCGGAUUUACUGGGUGUAAAGGGCGUGCAGCCGGGCUGACAAGUCAGAUGUGGAAUCCCGUGGCUCAACCACGGAACUGCAUUUGAAACUGUCGGUCUUGAGUAUCGGAGAGGCAGGCGGAAUUCCUAGUGUAGCGGUGAAAUGCGUAGAUAUCAGGAGGAACACCGGCGGCGAAGGCGGCCUGCUGGACCGUAACUGACGUUGAGGCUCGAAAGCGUGGGGAGCAAACAGGAUUAGAUACCCUUGUAU